UACGGAGGGGGCUAGCGUUGUUCGGAAUUACUGGGCGUAAAGCGCACGUAGGCGGCUUUGUAAGUUAGAGGUGAAAGCCCGGGGCUCAACUCCGGAAUUGCCUUUAAGACUGCAUCGCUAGAAUUGUGGAGAGGUAAGUGGAAUUCCGAGUGUAGAGGUGAAAUUCGUAGAUAUUCGGAAGAACACCAGUGGCGAAGGCGUACUUACUGGACACAUAUUGACG
rnacentral:rRNA from 1 species